rnacentral:rRNA from 1 species
UACAGAGGGGGCAAGCGUUGUUCGGAAUUACUGGGCGUAAAGGGCGCGUAGGCGGCCUGUUAAGUCGAACGUGAAAUCCCCGGGCUCAACCCGGGAACUGCGUCCGAUACUGGCAGGCUUGAAUCCGGGAGAGGGAUGUGGAAUUCCAGGUGUAGCGGUGAAAUGCGUAGAUAUCUGGAGGAACACCGGUGGCGAAGGCGGCAUCCUGGACCGGCAUUGACGCUGAGGCGCGAAAGCUAGGGGAGCAAACGGG